CUUAAUGCGAAGAUAAGAAAUAGUAAAUGUGUGAAGUUUUUUUAGAGAGUCUCUGUUUGGUGGAAAGAGGUAAAACAGUACAUUGAACACAUCUUUGAGCAAGACAUCGAAAUCAAUAUAUAGCAAGUGGAUAGGUUUGUUAACAAAUGCUAUGAGAGUAGAAUGUUCCCGGUUAUUUGCACCCGUUAUAGUGCUAGAGUAUUAUAUUGUACUUGAAGAGGUUAGUAUUGUGAGGUACUGACGAAUUGAGGUGGGAACACGUGAGUUAUAACUCUCGUCCUUUGG
rnacentral:ncRNA from 1 species